UACAGAGGAUGCAAGCGUUAUCCGGAAUGAUUGGGCGUAAAGAGCUCGUAGGUGGCCUGUCGCGUCGGCUGUGAAAACUCGGGGCUCAACUCCGAGCUUGCAGUCGAUACGGGCAGGCUAGAGUUCGGCAGGGGAGACUGGAAUUCCUGGUGUAGCGGUGAAAUGCGCAGAUAUCAGGAGGAACACCGGUGGCGAAGGCGGGUCUCUGGGCCGAUACUGACACUGAGGAGCGAAAGCGUGGGGAGCGAACAGG
rnacentral:rRNA from 1 species